rnacentral:lncRNA from 10 species
CAAGAUCAGUUUGACUAGGAUGGAGUCAAGGGGGAAGCAGCUGGAGGCCCAGUUAGGCUGGCGCUGCAACAGGCCAGGCAAAGAGGAUAAAGAUCUAGAAUAACACAAUUGUCAAAGAGAAAAGUGGACAGAUUUGAAAACCUCUUAGCAAGUAAAAUUGUCAGGAUCGGUGAGAGGUUUGAUUUUAGGUUAGACAAUAAUCUAGGAAGACUCCCCGAUUUCUAGGCUGGUUGAUGGAGGUGAUGGUAAUACAGCUAAAUGACACGGAAAACACAGGAGGAGGAGGAGACCUGGGUGGCAAUAUAGAUAAUAAACUUAGUUUGGGAUGUGUUGAGUUUGAAGGCCUGUGAGAAGUGGAGAUACUCAGAGGACUUGAAGAUUCUAUUGGGUUUGGAGCUAAGGGGAGCUCAAGAUUGGACAAGCGGUUUUGAGAACCUUCAGGACAUACAUAAUCAUCAGGAGAGCUGAGGAUGUAACAUGGAGGGACACCAACCUUGACCAGAAGAGGAGGAGUCGGAGCCAGCCAGGGGUUCUGAGAACGUGCCACUUAAGAAGCAGAAAGGGGUAACACAGGCCGGCAAACUCCUACUCAACCUUCAAAACUCAGCUUAAGACCGGAAACAGAGGCUCACGCCUGUAAUCCCAGUGCUUUGGGAGGCCGAGGCGGGCAGAACAUCUGAGGUCAGGAGUUUGAGACCAGCCUGGGCAACAGGGCGAAACCUCAUCUCUACAAAAAUACAAAAAUUAGCCAGGCGAGGUGGCGCGUACCUGUAGUCCCAGCUACUCAGGAGGCUGAGGCAGGAGAAUUGCUUGAACCCAAGAGGUGGAGGUUGCAGUGAGCCGAGAUUACACAGCCUGGGUGAUAGAGUGAGACUCCAUCUCAAAAGCAAAAGACAACAAUAAAAAA